GACAUUUGAGAGUGCACCGCAUCACGAGAGACACGAGAAUUACCACGAUCCGACAUGCAACGCUCCCCUCGUGAACCGGUGGGGCUACCACUCUGACACCCGCAAUCCUCCCCACAAACAAAGCAGCCACCGCGGCCGGAGCGGCGGAGCCGGAGACCUGGGCCAAAACCCACGCAACAGCCUCGCCCCGCUCCUGAUCCGAGCGCCCCAAGCCGAGCCAGGAUGGCCCAUUCACCGGCGUCAGGCGGCGGGCAGCCGCUGGUGGUGUCGCUGAACUGCCUCGACGACCCCUCGCUGGAGCAGGAGGGUCUGGCCGGCGUGGCCGCGGUGGAGCACGUGCCCCUCUCCGCCGUCGCCUCCGGCCGCGUCGAGGCCGCAGCCGCCGUGCUGCUCCCCUCCCUCGCCUUCCUCCCGCGCGCCGCGCAGCGCCGGCUCCGCCCGUGGCAGCUCCUGCUCUGCCUCGGCUCCUCCGACCGCGCGGCCGACUCCGCGGUCGCCGCGGACCUGGGCCUCCGCCUGGUGCACGUCGACGCCAACCGCGCCGAGGAGGUCGCCGACACCGUCAUGGCGCUCAUGCUAGGCCUGCUCCGCCGGACCCACCUACUCUCCCGCCACCCCUCGUCUGCCCCUGCCGCAGUUGCCGCCGGUUGGCUCGGCUCCGUCCAGCCGAUGUGCCGCGGCAUGCGGCGCUGCCGUGGCCUCGUGCUUGGCAUCAUUGGCCUAUCCGCCGCUGCGCGCUGCCUCGCAACUCGCAGCCUCGCCUUCCGGAUGAGCGUGCUCUACUUCGAUCCGCGCUAUGCGGCCAACGGGACAAUAAAGCGGCCUUCCAUUGUAUUUCCUUCUGCGGCGAGGCGAAUGGAUACUCUCAAUGAUUUAUUAGCAGCAAGUGAUCUUGUUUCAUUGCAUUGCGCAUUAACAAAUGACACCAUGCAUAUACUUAGUGCUGACUGCCUUCAGCACAUAAAACCUGGAGCUUUCAUAGUCAAUACUGGUAGUUGCCAGCUUAUAGAUGACUGUGCACUCAAACAGCUCUUGAUUGAUGGUACCAUAGCUGGUUGUGCAUUGGAUGGUGCUGAAGGUCCACAAUGGAUGGAAGCUUGGGUGCGGGAGAUGCCAAAUGUUUUAAUUCUCCCGCGAAGUGCAGACUACAGUGAAGAAGUGUGGAUGGAAAUAAGAGACAAAGCAAUCACGAUAUUACAAUCCUUUUUCUUUGAUGGUGUUCUUCCAAGUAGUGCAAUUUCUGAUGAAGACGAGGAAAUUAGUGGAGCUGGAAAUGAAGACAAUGAUGUAGAUUCACAUGUAAAAGAUAGCAAGUCUCAGGUUUCUUAUGUUGAACAGAAGACUGAUGAAAGCCACCUAACUAUGGAGUAUGAAAAGAAACAAGCCAUAUCCCACCAUAAAGAGCCUCAAGCUUCAGGGCAAUCUCUAAACAUUGGAUCCCGAUCUGAAGGAAGGCGCAGUCGUCCUGGAAAGAAAGGGAAAAAGAGGCCUGCUCACCGCAGAUCUCAACAGAAACCGGAUGACUUGUCUGCUGUAGAGAGUGACAGUAAUUAUUCCUCACGGAGAGAUGAUGACACUGCAAUGAGUAGCAGAGACCAGGUUUUAAGUUCCAGUUCGAGAUUUGCUUCUCCUGAGGACUCAAAAUACAAGCAGAAAUCUCUUGCUGAAUCCCCAAUGGAAAUAACCUCUGAGAAGAAAUUGCCUACAGUGCUCAAUAGAAAAUAUCCAGAUAAACUGAAAGAUGGUUUUGUUGUAGCUUUGCGAACAAGAAAUAAUUCAGGGUACCAUGUUGCCAGACAGAGGGUAGUAGGUGGUGGUGGUUGGAUCCUUGAUAUUGUGUCAAAUGCUACGAACAGGGACCCUGCUGCUCAGUUCCUAGUUACUUUCAAAAACAAGGAUACCAUGGGGUUGCGAUCCUUUGUUGCUGGUGGUAAACUACUGCAGAUUAAUAGGAAGACGGAGUUUGUGUUUGCAAGUCAUUCUUUCGAUGUUUGGGAGAGCUGGAUGUUGGAUGGUUCCUUGCUGGAGGGUUUCAAGCUUAUCAAUUGCAGAAAUCCUUUGGCUGUUCUGGACGUCUGUAUUGAGAUCCUUGCAGCUGCGAGUGAAGAAGAUGGAGUCACUCGGUGGCUAGAUUAGCCAUGCUGGGGAUUGUAAAAAUGAGCUGACUCGUCAUCGCUGUUUGGUUUGAUUUGCUUCCAACUUCUUUCUGGUUUCUGCCGAAGCACACAAUUUUGUUUUUUCUAAUAUAGGAACCCUGUAGGCACACCAUGUAUGUCGAACACGUUUGUUAGUGUGGAAUGUGUAAGAAGGCAUGUGAAGUGCUGUUAGUGUUACAGUUAUCCUUGUGUUCCAUGUCCUUGUCACGAGAGGAAUUUUUACAGGAUUUAUAUCUUGUGUAAUCCAGCAGCCGAUUCACUGACUUGCACUAGGACAGCCGGUUCUCGUGAGAAAUUUCGAUUGUUCAAGAUGUGUAAAAAUAAAAUGCAAUCGAAGAUGUCCAGUCCAAAACGAGAUUUCUAAUUCUCAAACCAAGUGAGACGUGAGAAUGAGACCAGGGAAGAAUCUGCGAAGCUACGUUGAUCUAGGGUGGUGCAUUGGCACCAGGGUGAAGUGAAGAAAAACUUUAUUAGAAAUCUGUUCAUAUCAACUAUAUGAAUUUAUGGUAUUGUUAGAUGUACAGUGAAUAUGAAUUUAUGUUAUUGUCAGAUGUACAGUGAAGUGACACCAAGAUCAUUUCGACUCCGGCUUCGCCACUGGUCGUCUUUCACAAAAAGAGAUGAGCAAGUUGAAGUUGGA